AUUGAACGCUGCCGGCAGGCCUAACACAUGCACGUCGAACGAGUGGCGGACGGGUGCGUCAUGUCUGGGAAACUGCCCGAUGGAGGGGGAUAACUACUGGAAACGGUAGCUAAUACCGCAUACCAUCGGAUGUGCCCAGAUGGGAUUAGCUAGUAGGUGGGGUAACGGCUCACCUAAGCGACGAUGCCUAGCUGGUCUGUGAGGAUGACCAGCCACACUGGAACUGAGAAACGGUCGAGACUCCUACGGGAGGAAGCAGUGGGGAAUAUUGCACAAUGGGCGCAAGCCUGAUGCAGCCAUGCCGCGUGUAUGAAGAAGGCCUUCGGGUUGUAAAGUACUUUCAGCGGGGAGGCGUUACCCGCAGAAGAAGCACCGGCUAACUCCGUGCCAGCAGCCGCGGUAAUAC
rnacentral:rRNA from 1 species